GCGGAGCAUCGCCUGGCGGGGAAAGCGAGGGACCAAAUGACUGUGAGGAAGGACGGGAGCUGCCGCCGAGAGAGGCGCCCCCGCAGGAGACCCGGCGGGGCGGCGAUGGAGGCGGGCGGCGGGCUCGGGGCGCGAGGCUGAGCCGGAGCCCCCGCAUGGCGCGGGCCUGAGAUGCUGGAGCGGGGCCCGGGGCCGCGGCGGCGCUGCGGGGCGAGGAGGAGGAUGGCGUGGAAGUGGCCGCGCACCCGCCUGCCCGUGGGGGCCAGCGCGCUGGGCGUCUUCGUCCUCUGCUGGCUCUACGUCUUCCCCGUGUACCGGCUACCCGACGAGAAGGAGAUCGUGCAGGGGGUGCUGCUGCAGCAGGGCAAGGCGUGGAGGAGGAACCAGACUGCGGUCACCCUCUUCAGGAAACUGCUGGAAGAAUGCUGCGACCCUGGGCGGCUCUUUGCUAUGACAAAGUUGAACUCCCCGAUGGGAAAGAACCUCUGGUUUGAUGGGGAAUUUUUAUAUUCUUUCACUAUUGACAAUGCAACUUACUCUCUCUUCCCACAGGCUACUCCCUUCCAGCUGCCACUGAAGAAAUGCUCCGUGGUGGGAAAUGGUGGGAUCCUGAAAAAGAGCGGCUGCGGCAAACAGAUAGAUCAAGCAGAUUUUGUCAUGCGGUGCAACCUUCCUCCUCUAUCCAGUGAAUACAGCAAGGACGUUGGAUCGAAAACCCAGCUGGUGACAGCAAAUCCCAGUAUAAUUCAGAAAAGGUUCCAGAAUCUGCUGUGGUCUCGGAAAGCAUUUGUGGACAGCGUGAAGGUAUAUAACCAGAGCUACAUCUACAUGCCAGCUUUCUCAAUGAAGACAGGGACAGGACCCUCCCUACGUGUCUAUUACACCCUGGAGGACUUCGGGGCCAAGCAGGCGGUCCUUUUUGCCAACCCCAAUUUCCUGCGUGACAUUGGCAAGUUCUGGAAGAGCAAAGGUAUCCAUGCCAAACGGCUUUCCACAGGACUUUUCCUAGUCAGUGCUGCCCUUGGUCUGUGUGAAGAAGUAACAAUUUAUGGCUUCUGGCCAUUCUCUGUGGACCUGCAUGGGAAAUUUAUUAGCCAUCAUUAUUAUGACAAUGUCUUGCCCGAUUCUGGAUUCCAUGCCAUGCCGGAGGAAUUUCUACAGCUCUGGUUUCUUCAUAAAAGUGGUGUUCUAAGAAUGCAACUAGAACCGUGUGAGGACCCUUUAAUCCAGUCUUCUGCCUGAGGAUCACAGGAGUUGGUUUGGGAGAUUGUAACAGUUAGGUAAGGGUUCUUGUGAGGUACAGCAAAAAAGCUGGAAACACACAAGCUACUAUAAACAGACAAUUUAUUAGUAAAAAUUAGUGCUUUACUUACAAACAGCAAGACGGUUCAGUAAUCAUAACUGUCAGGGAUAAUAAUGAUAAUUCAUGUCCCUGUGUUGUAGCAAGGUUGGGCACAAAGCUUAGCAGGUUUCCCUGCGACAACAAUGUAGGUUGUGGUUUAUUGCCGCACCUUGCCACAAGUUUCAGGGUUAUUUAUACAGGUUUGCAUCCUGCCACGUAGGGCCAGUAUGUGCCAGGAGACGGUCUCAACUCUGCCCUUCAGUUAUAUAAUCACUGCUCAUUAUUGCUCAUGCGCAAAACUCAGUCGAGUGUGUUUCCUCCUCCUAAGGGUGGUUUCUUCAUCUUCCUUUGUCUUCCUCACUUGUCCUUCAGCCAUCUUUGGCUGUCUUCCCUUUGUUGAAGGUCGUUUGCAACUGCAAGUUUCAUAACUCAGAUGGGAAACACAGUUGGGGAAAAUAAUCAUGGAUCUGCAUGGACCAUAAGAAUGCUACUUGAAGGCCAAAUGGAGUAUGUCCUUAAUGUAAAGUGCUUUAUGGAACUGGAGCGGGGGAAAGCGAAUCUCUUCAUUGUGUCCGUACAGCAGCAUUGUGAAAAUAACGUCAGAAGCAGCACAGCUGAACUUUCUGGGGGACAUUUUUAAAUGACCGAUGUUAAAAGGGCAUUAAGGCUUGGAGAGGCACAGGGCCACCCACAAGCUUUUGCUGACAGUGCCAAAUAUGACUGUCUGUUAAAAAAUCCAUUUCAUUCCACACUGGCACCAUGUACAACUUUCCUUUUUCCUUUUUAUUUUUUUUUUCCUCUUUGUACGUGUGGGUGUGUGCGUAGGAGAGCACGUGUGUUGUUGACUCCUUUGUUUCUUUCUCCUUUCUUGUUUUCCCUUUUUUUUUUUCCUUUAGCUUUUUUUUUGUUUCCUCAAUGGAAGGAAAAGGAAAGGCUUAUAAGCCCCAGGAGCCAAGUACCAUCAACAUCUCUGAAGACUCAAGAGAGUGAAGGGAGCUAAGAAUCUGGUUAGAAGAAGGUCCUAGGAAUGCCUUGCUACUGGGUAUGGGUGGACCUAAUUGCUGUAGAUUUUAUUAGGUUAGUUUAGGUCAUUGCACUUACAGCUAUAUUGUGGGUAAGAGCUAGUUAGGGGAAAUUGGUCUGCAAAUGAAAUUUGUGUUACCAAAGCAGUAGUGAAGUGCAGCCUGGUUUCAGUUGACCUGCUGCAAGUUUUCCACAGUGACUUUUGUAGCAGGGAUGGUUCCUGACCUGCUUUGCUGUCCAGCCUUGAGGAUUAAUCCUGUAUUCACAUUUGGACUCCAAAUGUUCAUUGACUGUAAAGGGGAUUUGGGGUGUUCAGUGAAAUGCAGAAUGAGGUUGUUCAUUUGCUUAUAGCAGAAAAACUGCAGAAAUGAAUGUAAGUGACACUUAAGAUGAGUUGAAGCUUUGAAAAUCCUUUCUCUUUGUGUGACUAGCUCUUCUGCUUGGAUUGUAAUGUUAGCCUUAAAGACUUGUACUUUUCUUGCAAGAUUGUCUCUGGUUAAAGAGAGUCUGAAAAGCAAAACAGCCUUUGGGAGCAUUAAAAAACUGCAUAGCCAGCAAGAAGAAAAGAAAAAAAAAGAAAAUCUGCAGGCCCUUACGUAAGGCAGCCUCUCUCCUCACAGUGGGUAAAUUAUGUCAGUAUGCGCAUUGCACACGUGCUGCCUGGCCAGCACAGCGCCUGAAGGAUUGUUUUAUUUUGGGUUAAUACUGGGGCAGCAGAUGGUCCUAUCGCCAUGAAAAUGAGAAAUCUUUUUGUUUGUUUGCUUCGGCUUAGCACUGUAGGACAAGAAUAGAAUACCAGCUCAGUCCACAGUGUAAUUUCAGCUGCAAGAUGUUAUUACCAUUAACUUUAAAACCCAGAUCAGUGUUCUCUUUUUUAUCCUGUAGUAAAAGUGUUGAAACAACAAAACUGUAAUCAGGUUUCCACAACAAUUUCCUGUGCUACCUGUUUUAGAUCCAAAGUGCUAGUGUACUGGGGGGAUGUGUCCUAUCCUAUGUUGACAAUGUCUCUCUUUGUAGACGGCCAGCUGCAAGUUAUAUAGAUAUAAUUAAAAGAACCCAAACAAGUAAAAUACAUGGCUCUUCUUUAAAUAUAAAUAAUUCAACUAUCUAUGUAGGACACUGGAAAAAUAAUAAUGUUUUGCUUUUUAAAGCUAUGUUUCAUAAUAAAAUCUUCUUUCUGAAUAUCAGUAUUCCAAACUCAAAGUGGGUACUGUUCCACAGCAUUAUAUGGCAAUGCUAAACUGUAAUGUGGAAAUUUGGGUUAAAUAGAAUUCUAGAAAUUGUUCUGAUAAAAUCUGAAUGUGCUUCUGUAACCCAUUUUAUCUGUUAAAAGUACAGUGAACACACUGAUGGAAUGUCACUUGAUAAUUCAUUCUCUUUUAUUAUGUUUGUUUUGUCUGUGAUGUGGGUACUUGGUGAGGAGGGAUUUAAAAGUUAAGUUUUUUCUUUACUGCUUGUUAUGGUAGAAUUUUACUGAGCUGCCUUUCUUGGAUGAAGAAAAGGGUGCCUGUAUGGUUUAUAUUGUAUGUGUUAAGUUUUGUAAUUCUCAGUGCUUUAAAUAUGACAUUAUUUGUCAGAACAACAGUCAAAAUGUGGUGUGCUGAAAUGGCAUUUCUUUGGGGGUGAUAGGGAAUAAGGACAGUAGGGAGAAACUGCCUUUUUGCUGGUCAUUUGGGGUUUUUUUUGUAUGUUUACUAAUACUUGGGAAUUUAGUCUUGAACUUCCCUGACAGCUCUUCAACCCUUUGGCAACCCUUUUUUCUCAUGUUUUGGGGAAAUAAUUGUAUUAGAAGAAUGAGAGGAAAACAUGUAUUUUUGUAGCACAACUCAGUGCAGUGUUCAGUAAUACUUGGCUUGUUCAUGUUCAACUGGUGCCAUAGAUAUCUUGUGAUAUUCUACUCUUCACCUCUGUAAGACUGGGGCAGACUGAACCUGUAGCCUGUGGUCUUCCUGAGUGCCUUUUCAUGUCUGCAGUCCUGGUGUCUGCAAGGAGAUAGCUUCCAAAAACUUAUGAGAGUAGGAGAAACCCAGGCUGUGUGCAGUGUGACUGGUGUUGGAGGAAUUGAUAAUUCUGGCUCUGUUCACUUUUAUGCAUAGUGUAUAUAACUGCAUCUUACAAUGACAACCACAUCCGAUGAAGAAGUAAAGGCUUCAAGGAGAGAUAAUUUUCUAUAACUUCCAGAAAACAGGCAACCGAGCAAAGAAGUGAAAUGAAAAUUAAUGCCGCUUUUGAGAGAACAAAAUCUGUUUUAGCUUCUCAGUCCAUGUGAACACACUGGCCAGCGAUCAGCCUUUUGCCCAGCAAGUAUAAAGGGACACAGGAGGGGUACUGCAGGAGUUUUGUGGCACAAGGAGCCACAAAACAAUGAAAAGAAAAUCAGCUGGGAACUGUAAGUGUUAACCAUGAAAAGUCAGCAUCUUGCAGGUGCUCGAUCAGAGUGAUUAUGUCCAUCCAGCAUUUAUCUAUUGUUUGAUUCCAGCACAUUGAUGGUAGUGCCCUCAAUAAAAUCUCAUUGCUUGUAUUGCUAUAUUUUCCUUGAAGUGAAUCAAAACCUUAAUAUUUAUUUUUUAAUGAAAUUCCCUACUCUAUCUUCUCUGUUUCCACUGCCAGUCUCUGAAUUUCUCUGAUAAUGUAACUGAAGCUGCACAAGUCUUUGCCAGGUUGAAAGCUAUCAAAGUUAAUCUUCAAUAAAAACUAGGUCAGACUGGCCAAAUGAUUUGUUAAUGUUCCUAAUUUUAUCACGGUUACUAAUUUUAUCAUAGAUGUGACAAGGUAUGGAAGCGCUGGAAUAAUUUCUCUACAUAGGAAGCAUUGACCCAUGUUUGUAAGUAGAAUGAAUUAAAUUCCUUUACAAGAGUUGUGAAUGGAAGAUAUUCGGCAAUGAAAUUACUCUAGAUAUAAUCUUUCAGGGGUGUAUAUGCUUUUGAGUAAAACCAGACCAGUUUUUGAACUUGUGCCAAAACUAUUCCUGUUAAUUGUAAAGCCUUUGCAGCUACUUCUAAAACAUACGAGAGAAAGAGAAGCCAGCAGGUCUUAAAAUCAUAGAGAAGGGUGCGUGUGCUCAUGAGAAUAAAAACAUUUAAUAUUGGUCCAGACCUUGCUAUAAUACUAAGUAGUCCUAGUAAUGAAUGUUGUAUUUUUAUAUUUUUUUUACUGAAAUGAAGAUAUCAGGUUUGGAAUGAAACAGCUACAAACGUCAAAGGUCUAAGCCUCUGUUACAGCUUAAUUUUUGUAGUAUGUAGAAAUAUCGGCCAUUUUGUGAACUUGACUACUUUGAUCUUUUUGUUAGCUUCAUCAGAAUGUGUCAUAACAUGCACUGCUGAGUUUGCACCUCUGUGAGAACUGAAACUCAGCAAAGCAUCUGCUUGUUUUAAGCUGGAUGUCUGAACUGUGGUAGUUAUGUAAAACCCUUCCUCUACAGACCUUCAUGGAAACUGGUUUAAUAUCUGGCUUACCCUUGCCUGUAAUUAAUAACUAGAACAGUAGUGAGGAUCCAGAAAUGCGAGUGAUGGAGGAGCUGAAUGAUAUCUCACCAUUUGCUACCUGCUUUGUUUCUUUUCUUCAGCUUACUAGUAAAUAUUGGAAAAAGUCCAGGUUCUGUGAAGGACAGGCAGUUCUUGAAGGGCUGCAUGAUGCUGGAAAAAAGGAAGAUCAAAUCUGUGGUGUAACAAAUUGGAGAGUAGUGUAGCAAUUCUUGAUAAAGAUCCCCAGUUCUCAGCAACUGUAGGAUAUUUUCUUCUGGUAGUGAUUGUGAAAAAUGGACUGCAUGUGACCUACUGAUGGUUUUCAGUGAGAUGGCAGCAAAGCAAAAUGCUAUGAGGAGGGGUAGCUGAUGAAAUGAAAAGGAAAAUACAGUGGAACAAAGAACGAUGAUAAAAAAUCUGUCUUUUCCUUCUCUCUUAGUGCUCCCCCGCAACAUAUAUUUAAAAUGGACUAACCAGCUAUUAGGAGUCAAUGUCUCCUUCAUGAAAGGAUGUGGUGGGAUUUGUACUAGCUGAAACUUUCUGGUAAACAAAAUUAAUCAGACUUUGUCCUGAAAUGCAUAUUCUAUGACUGUUUGAGGGAUGCUCUGUGGGCUGUGGCUGUCUUGGAGUGCUAUGACCUCCCUAAUGGGACCAGCAUCUAAUGUCAUGUGGUUCUAACAAAUCUCCCUCUGGGAUCAUCUGGACUUAAUAUUUGUGCCGCUACAAGUCAUGCUAAAGGUUCUGUCUGCUCUAUCCUUCCUAAUGACUAUCCUCCUUGGGGUUAGAACUGUGAUUUAAAAAAUCAGCCAUCUUCUCUUCUAAAAUGUUGAUAAAUCCAAACAGAGCUAGCUCCAAAUUAAAAAAAAAAGACUUCAAUUAGAUGUUGGCAAUUCCAUCACUGGUGAUGUGAAAGAGUAUGGAAGAAGGCUGUGUUUUUCAAAGUGAUUGUUGUAAAAUAAUUUCUGCUUUCUUGAAUUCCCAGGUUUUGUCACUUGGAAUCUACCAGAUGUUUGGCUUUGAACCGAAGAAUUCAUGAAAGACUCACUGGCCUUUUUGUUAAAUAUUAGCAAAUGUGUUUACGUAAGUGUAAUAGAGAGAGCCAACAGGAGGCGUAACCUAUCAUCUGUAGCUGGUAUUUCUUUGGCAGCUAUGAGAACAUAAACAGCUAUUUAUUCCUCCCUGAUUAUUCAUUUUCUUUGGCUUUUAUUACAGCAGGUUGAGCCCUAGUGUAUUCAGCCUCUUCAGCUUAAUGCAUAUACUUAAAAAUGAAUCUCACUCUGUUAUUUCAAAUGGAAAAACAAAAAAAAAAAACCCAAAAAACAAGAAAAAGAAGUGUUGUUAACUGAAAAUGGUUGAAUAGGUUCUCUCUGCAAUCAGGAGAGACAGGACCCCCCAAAUGGUGAUUCACGUUUUUAUUAACAUGGGCUGCGUUCCGAGGUUUCUGCAGGACUGUGAAAACAGCCCAGCUGUGUCUAUAAUGUGAAACUUUGCAGGGCAGAGCAGAACCUUAAGCAUUUCCCCUAGCGUUGUAUAGCUUGCUUGUGUGCAUAUUGUGACUUUGUCAGACCAAUGCUGUCUGAACUCAGGCACUGCACGGGGCAGGGGGAGGGAUGCAGCUCCUGGCAGUCUGCGUGGAUGAUGCCAGCCUGCUCUGAGGGGUUUAGCUGUGCAGUGAGUUCAGCCGACUCUGGCAUGCUGCUCGCACUCAGGGACAGUAAGUAGACCUCACUCGUGUGAUGGCAGCAGGGUACAUUCAAUACAGUAGCAUGUAAGGAUAAGUCUUUUCGCUGCCAGGACUUUGCAGUCACUGGAAUGGCUCCAUUUAGAACUGCGAUAUAUACAAUUCAGCAAGUGCUGUUUCAGAGCAGGUCCUAGAUAAUUACCCAUGGCAAGGUUAGUUCUCUCCUGUUUCACAGUCAGAAGUGCUAGACUUGCUGGAAUUGAUGGCAGCUUAUCCCUUUGGAGACCAGCCUGCCUCUUGCCCUGAAACACUUUUGAUCCCUGACAAGUCUCAGAAGGGCCUAUUAAAACUGCAUCUUAAAAUAUUCUACAUGUAGUUCCCUGCUGCUGUUGAGUUGGUCAGCUUUCUGUCGAGCUGAAUAUUUAUUCUUUUUGGAUUCCUCUAAGGCAAGCGAACCUUUAGCAUUCAGACGACCUGGAAUUUACCAUAUUAUUUGGCGGCUUCACCUUCCAAGUUAAACCCUUCUUUUCUUUUAGACUAGACGUAACUAUUGUGAUUGAAUUUAAAGGGAAUCUAAAAAAGCAACAUCACAAAUAAUUGUUCUCUGGUUUUAUGACUAAUAUAGUGUUCAGUAAAACAGUAAAGUACCUUCUGAGUAGUCCAGUUGAUUUCUAAUUGUUUAUUCAAUUAAUUAUUUUGGUCAGAUGGGGCCUACAGCAAAGAUGAGUUGCAUCAUUUUCUGUUUAUUGGAACGGAGCAAUUGCAGAUGUUUAAUAUGUUUUAAACCUAAUUCUUGCUAAGAAGUUAGGGAAUCUGUGUAUUCCACAAGAAGAUUUGUUAUUGUGUGAUUAGCUUGGUAGUAAAAAAAAUGUUUUCAGUGAGAAUAGAUGCACAGAGGAAAAAUGUUUUGAUUAGAACAAUAUAAUCUGGAGCAGCAAGACCCAGAUUCAAAUUCCUGCUUGGAAGACUUCAACCAGGAGCUCGGUGUGCUGCAAGAUUGUUGUAGUCAUGACUUCUUCUCCACAUGCAUUAUUUUUAGUGGAAAAUACUUGAACACUUUUUUUUUUAUAAUCCCCAUGAGUGCUGAAAAUAAACAUGCAUAUUUUCAAGAGCACAAAUUUUCUUUUUGGAUGCCCAUAGUUUUUAGUACACAGGGCAAAACUGACAGAAUAUAUCUGGUUUUCAGGAGAAUGCUGUUUCGGUGUAGUCUUGCAGGGCUUAGGCAAACACACGAGUUGAUUGCUGCCUCUUGAUCUGUAGAGUUUCAGCAGAUGAUACAGGGUGUGCUAUGCUGGCAAGAAAAAAAAGGAUAUUUUCACUGCAGCUCUGCCUGCUUGAUGUCUCCCAUAUGCUGAGUGGUAUUUCUUAGUUCUGUGAGGGCUCUUCAAGUGUGAACUUUGAUCUUGAAGAUCAUGCGUUUACUAAUUUUAAAGGACUGGACUUUGAAUGUACUGAAAACUGAAAGAGACAUUGAAAUAACUUGAAAUAAGUACUUAAGUGCAGCAUUUGGUCAUGCUGGAUUAUUUGGCCUAUUACAAAACAGACCUGUGUGCAUGUGAAAGACAUUUUAUCUCAAUAUGAGACUUGUAUCUAUGAGGAGGUCACUGGAGGGUAAAUGCCUGAUGCUGCGUAGGACAAGGACUUCAAAAAAUCAUGUUGCAUUUUUAUUUAUACCAGUAAUGAAAUUCCCAUUGAGCCAAUGUUGGAUUAGGUCAGCAUUAAGCACUCUUUAAACUCCGACCCCAUAGGCAUAAUUUCCAAGAAUUCUCCCAUGCAAAGGCAGAAUCAGUAGAUUUUAAUUUUCUUCAUGUGGUUUACCUUGCAUUGAAAGUGGAAUGAAGUGUCAAUCAGAACUAUUAUUUACCCUUUUUAGAGAUCUAUGUAGACUGCCUAAAUAAUAUACAGGCACGCAAUUUUACAAAUAUUAACAAAAUAGCUGAUAACCUGAAGUUUAUCACUCAAACAUUGAUUCAUAUCUUGAAGAAUCAUUCUAAAAUCAUGUAGUGAGAAAAAAAAAAUCCUUUUUUUUUUUCUAAAAUGCACCAAUAGCCAAAUAAAUUCUAUGCUAGGAGAUACAUGCACUUCUAGUUUUGUACUUAAGUCCAUACUUUUGCAAAGCUUCCAAUUUUAGACUACUGCAUGUGGAGUAAUCCAUUAGAUUAAAAUUAAAUGUUAUACUCCAAAUAUAGUCAAAAAAGAAAGAAAACCAAACUCAGGACAGAGGUUCUGAUCUUCUGAAUUCUGUUACUGUUUAUGUAGUGCCAUUUAGUUGUAGAGUCUAAAGAACUAGCUAAAGGUCAAAAAGGAGAUAAAUAAACAAGAUGACAUGGUCUAUCUGGUAAAGAUAAAGGAAUGCAAGCAUAUAUUAAAUGCUUUGCUGAACUGGGACCUUAAAUUAUUGACAGAUGUUAGGUCUUUAUUCUUCCACUUCUCUUUUCGUUAGUUCUUAAGGUACCAGGAUGAAACCUGCUGCAUUCACAAAUUGUUUAAAAUCUCUCCACUACAGUGAACAUUCCUCUAGGCUCUAAAUCUGAAAAAUGUAACAGAGAGGCAUAAACCGCUUGAGGUUUAUUAAUACGAAGUGGAAGCAAGUUUGUAUGCAGUAUUUCUCAUCUUCCUAGUACUAGUUAUUAUAUUAAUUCAGAAUUAAAACGAAGGCUUUCUUAUUUCCAAUACCACUUACAUCAGAAUAUUUGAUAUCUUUCUUUGUGCAGUGGUUUCUUUGUCAGGUGAAUGAAGAUUAUAUUUAGCUCACUGGGAAAUGGUUUGAGGGUUAGUUAACUCAUUCUUGGGAAGUAAAGUGAAAAAAACAGAAAUUUUAUAAAAUAUAAAGGCUUAUCUGUUUUGACCAGUGAAAGCAAGCAGACAGAUAAACCUUUUCAUUUGACUGAAUUUAUGCUUCUAUGUUAAAAUCCACCUGCAUUAUUAGUAAGUACAACGAGGAUGUUACCUUUGGAUAGCACAUAGAUUGUUGGAAAGUGAAAAGUCACUCUUUUAAUGAGAAAAGAAGGUUUGCUUCUCUCUGCCCUGCGCUUCAAUUUUUAGCGAAAUUCUCUUCUCUCUUUUACUGUUCUGGCUCCCGUUGAAUCAACAGAAUUCCCUACAUUUUAACCAGCUGUCCUCAAACAUGAGGAAAUUUAUGCUAUGGAAAUUUCAACUUAAGAUAGUUUAAAGCAGUGCUCAUUUAUGCUAACUAGUUAAAUGUUCCUAUACAGUAGGCUACUGAUUUUUUCCACAAAUGUACAACAUGAGCAUUUUAUGCUAUUUGUUAGUGAUGGCUCUAAGAAGAUAUCUUACUGUAUUUCAAAUAUCUGCUGCACUAGGCUGUCACAGUCUGAAAUCAAAUCAUAAUCUAAGUCAUGUCCUUAUUUCAGCAAGUUGCAUAGAAGUGAUCCAUGCGCUGGUCUGUCAAGUACAUUGCAUGAGCCAAGUGAAAAAGAAAAAAGGAUUUUACUACAGCAUGAAGACUCAGCAUUGACUGGCUCUAUCUGGGAAUUACAUAUUCUCAAGUAAUUUAUUGUCUAUGAUGGAUCUGAUGCCUGCUAAUGUUUCCACUCAUUGCUAAAUAAUUUUGUUAGAUUUCAAUGAUGUAAUUAUAUAAUCUUUUCCCCUUGCCAUUUGACUGCAAUUUUUCUUCUCUGAUAGUCUUUGCAGGGAAGAAAUCUUUCUUUAAUCUUUCUUUAUUCUCUCUCUUUUUUUCUUUAAAUGACAAUUUAAAUUUCAGGCUCAAUUCUAAUAUCAGGUUCUAAUUACCUUAAAAUGUUGUUCUUAGGUUUUUUUUCCUGUGUUGUGGAUUGUCUUUUAACACUGAGUAUGAUGAUGAAUAAUGAAGUCUCAACAAAUUAUCUUCUUAAACAUCUAAAGUCUUUGGCACCUGAAAAUUCUUUUCAUUUUCAUAAAACCUUGUCUGGCUCCAAGUGUCUUUGGUUUUUAGCUUAAAUUGCACACAGUCACAUCUUGAAUCUUUGCAAUAUCUUAGUGCACUUGUAGUCAAUCAAGCAUCAAUAAAAUAUAAAUCAAUUUCUAAAAUGUCUUUGGACCUCAGUAAAAGCCAAGGAGUCUUUAAUAAACUUUCUUAGUAAUGGCCUUUAACUACCAUGAUGAUAAAAAUAUUUUUAAUUUUCAUUUUAUGUCUUAUGGAAGUUAAAAUGUCAGCUGAGUAUAUAAACAAAUCAGUAUUAGCCUAGUGAUCCUUUUGGGUUUGGUACAUGUAUUAUUUCCAGUGACAUUAUUUUUCAUUUUUUCUUUUGUUUGCAUCUCAGUGAAUUUCAGAUUCUUAUCCAACACCUAAAUGAUUACUACAUGUAAUGUAGAGGAAUUGCACUUGGUAAGGUUUCUGGUCUGCUGGAGAGUUUAGUCAUAGUCUGUGUUUUGAAUGAAGGAUAUUUUAUCCUCUUCCAGGAAGAGAACUGUUUGAGUCAGAAGGCAAGGUACUAAAAAAUAGCCACCUUGGUCCUGUCUUGCUUGUGUUGAAUACCUGUGCUGGAGUCAGAGGGCACCCUUUUUGGGCUUUAGGAGGUGCUCAGGAGUGCUGCUGGGGUUGUAUGUUGUACUAAGCAGUGGGGCCAGGCUGGCGUAGAUGUUUGGGGUAGUCCCAGGGCUGCUGGGUGCUCGUGGUCUAGCCAGGUGAGAGGAGAGCCAGUGCAGAAUAAAAGUGAUAUGAGCUCUGGAAUGAAAUGUCAAGUGUGGUCCCAGCCCUUGCUAGGCCAGGGCUGAGCAGGAGCCACUGCUGUCUGCUCGUGCUGCAUGCUCCCUCCCAAGGACAUAGCAUGGGGUGCUCAGUGCUCAGACACAGGCAACCUCACUGAGUCUGCUGGGCAGGAUAGUUUUGAAUCUGAGAAGUAUUCUUCCAGUUGGAAAUUCAUGGAGCAGAGAGCUAUGUCAUCCCCAAUCCUGCCUUUCACUGAGGGAACUGGGGUUGUUCCUGAGGAAACUGGGAUUGUUUACCCUGGAGAAGAGGAGGCUGAGGGGACAUCUUAUCACCCUCUAAAACUACUGUAGCAUUGUGGAUAUUGGUCUCUUCUCCCAAGUAACAAGUGGUAGGACAAGAGGAAAUUGUGCCAAAUUGUGCCAGAGGAGGCUUAGAUUAGAUAUUAGGAGAAAUUUCCUUACUGAAAGAGUGGUGAAGCAUUAGAACAGACUGCCCAGGAAAGUAGUGGAGUUGUCAUACAUGGACAUGUUCAUAAAAUGUGUAGACUUUGGAACAUGCUUUAGUAGGCAUGGUGGUGUUGGGCUGAUGGUUGGACUUGAUGAUCUUAGAGGUCUUUUCCAGUCUUAAUGAUUCUAUGAUUUCCUGGUCCUGAGCAGCUCAUCACAUGAGCUGGGUGCUGAGAGUUCUCUUGGAGGAGUGACUCCUCCCUGCAGCCUCCUGGUGCUGCAGCAGAACCUGCUGAGAGGAGCCAGCAAGUGUCUAGACACUCUUAAAAGCAGAGCAAACUUCAAGUGCAACUGCUAUAGUAAUCAACACAAAAAACCAAGACAAAUAUUUUUCCUUUGUUGUGGAAGGUAGGUCAGCACAAAGCAUUUUCAUGCCAUGCUUUAGCCACUUACAAAUCAAAAGCAAGAAGUUUGAAUGUGCAAACAGUUUGCUGUAAAUUCUGAUUUUUCUCCCUGAGCACAGGGUACAAAUGUCUCCCAUUUUUAUUUUAAGCCUUUUUUUGAAGAUUUUUAUUGGUUUGUUUUUUUUUUUAAAUGACAAAUAUGAGUAUCUAAGUUGGCAAAUGAAAGCUUGUAGAGUUCUUUUAAUCUCCUUCAACUUUGGCGGUUCAAGGUGACAUAGCAAUUCUGCCUUCAUGGUCAAAGCCCUUUAAGAACUUGUAAACCUGUGUGUUUCUUAAGCAUCUCACUCACCUUGCUUUGACCUGUGUCAGUCUGGUUCCACUUGUCUGUAUUCUGAAAGCCCAAGAGAAAAGCGAACAACAAAAUAUGAAGACAAUUAGAGGUGCCUCGCUGUGAAAUUUUCAUAGAGUGAUACAUUGCUUUGAUAAUGAACUGUGAAAUGUAGCAUGCGGAUGAUGAUGGAUGUAAAAGACUGCAUGUGGUUUUAUUUGAAUGUCGUGUCCAUGAACUGGGUUAUUAGUAUGAGCUCUGUAGUGUAAAAAAAGAUAAGGUAAAUGGAAAUAAGGUAUCUCUAGCAGUUGUUGAAGCAAACCACAUCCUCUUCUGUCUAUCUCCCUUUUUGUAACCAAAGUUGGAUUCUGGUAAUGGAAGCUUUACUGUUAUAAUGGUAAUAAACUGCUCACUCCCUAAAGUUCAAUACACUUCUUACCACUAUUGUAAGUGGAAACCUAUUUGCUUUUCCAGCUGAUCAGAACUCUUCCCAGGCAUGGGCUCAUUGGGCUGCACUGGGCUGGGAGAUCAGUCAGGCUCACUGAUAAUGCCAUGUCACAUAUUUACUGCCCACAGAAUUCAACAGUCUUCCUGUGCCAGGAAAUAAGUGACUGUGGCUUGGUAUGGUUUGAUGCUUGCUUAUUGCUGGAAACUGAAGUGCAAGAUAAAAUGCCGUGAGCUGGCUUCCAUUUCUUGUAGGCAUUGUUUCACACAACUUGAGGAAGGAAUUUUGGGCUUGACUAGAACAGAAAUGGGACAGGCAAAUAUUUUGCAAAAUUAUUAAUUCUGCAUUUACCUUAUAGAAGUAUUCAUGAGAAGUCAGUGAUUUCUGAAAGGAGUAACAUUUAUUCCCUUAUCCGCUGAGUUGCAGUGAUCCUGAAAUACCUGCUCAGCCACAGAGGUCCGGGGAACCCACAACUGGCUGAUUGCUGAGCUUAUACCAACUCCCUGAUGUUUUGCUUAGGUAACAAAAUAGGUUAUUUAAAUACAAGCAUCCCAGGAAGCAUUGCUUGAAGGAUCAUGAUUGGCUUCUCUUUGGUUCAGGACUGCAAGUUCUCUGUUCUCAUCUUCCCUGUCAUAGCACCUGCACAUCUCAGACCUCUUGCUUUGUAGUUGACCCUAUCUGCAAGGCUGGCUAUGAGAGAGGGCAAGCCUUCCUCCCGGUGGAGUGCUCAAGCAGGUGAUGAUUAAAUCAAUGGUGAAACAUAUCAUAUCAUAUCAUAUCAUAUCAUAUCAUAUCAUAUCAUAUCAUACACAUACACAUACACAUACAGAUAUGUUUGGAAGGAGCUCAGUGUUUGGGUAAAACAAGCUAACUUGAGAUCAGUCUGUGGUUUAUAGUAAUGCUGAUAGACAAUAGCCCAGGCCGGACAGAUGCAAAGUGUCUCCUUUCUCUUUAGGGACUGGACAUAAUUGCCAUUUUUGUUCUCUCAUACAAUAUUUCCAAAGGAGUAAUGUGAUGUGGGACAUCAGUGUUAGUUGUUGAAUUUUUUCUUUGCGUAAUACUAGUACUUUGAUUUACAAUCCUUCUUAUCUUGCCCAGUUUAUUGAAAAAUGUGAUGGUAAUGUGGUAGUUCAAUGUCUUGAGAUGGUUUUAAAGUAGAUAAGCAUAUCAUUAUGCCUCUGAGGUUGCAUAAUUCCGUGGAUUUAUCUUACCUACAGUGACUGGCGUGUAAUGUUUAUUGUAUCAUUUAUGAUAUAUGUCAGCACUACAGGAUGGAUGUUGUGUCAAGAUGACUUGAGCACUUGGGUAAACAUCUCCAUGAACCACCAUCAUUUUGACACACUCAGGGGCAAAGGUACUUGUGUGAAGUGUGUUAAACAUCACAAAGCGUGUGUUGUUUAGAGUCUUGUGAUUAGGAUUUUGAUCUUAUUCGCUCCAAUGUAGCAAAUGUUUGGUGUCAGCUAACACUGUUAUGAGGACUAAGGGUUUGUCUUUCUUUGCCUGGCAAUAAUGUGUUUUCUAUUAUGUCAGUAGACUUGUUCAUUUUCAAGUAGUGUGCGGUACUCUUUUGAAGAAUGUAUCUUUUUCAGGUGGUUUAAUGGUGAGUGUACCCCAAAAUGUCUAGAUGUCUCUCAAUAGCAAAAAUUGCUUUGUUAUUGAAUGUAUUAUUUAUUAACAGUAUCUUAUUGUCUUUUUCUAGUCACAUUUUACAAAAUAUGCCACAAGCAUCUCAUGUGAUUUUUAUAAGGAAAGUCUUAUUUAUAAAAUUCGUGCAAGUAGAUGGAAACAAAUCUCAAUUUUAUAGUAGUCCAUGCCUUUUUUCAUAGUUGAAGAGUCUUAAUGAGCAUGAUCAGAAGGGACAAGCUCAUUGUUUUGUUUAAUUUUGAUGGAAUUUUUCAAAGGUAACUAUUAUGUUAUUUAUACUUUGGAUUCAAUUAUCUUAAUAAAUAAAU